CACUAGUGAUUGGUGUUCUUCCCGAUAUCUACACAUUCCACCGUUACACCGGGAAUUCCAGUCUCCCCUACCGCACUCAAGCCCGCCCGUACCCGGCGCGGAUCCACCGUUAAGCGAUGGACUUUCACACCGGACGCGACGAACCGCCUACGAGCCCUUUACGCCCAAUAAUUCCGGAUAACGCUUGCACCCUACGUAUUACCGCGGCUGCUGGCACGUAGUUAGCCGGUGCUUAUUCGAAAGGUACACUCACCCGAAGGCUUGCUCCCGAUCAAAAGCGGUUUACAACCCGAAGGCCGUCAUCCCGCACGCGGCGUCGCUGCAUCAGGCUUGCGCCCAUUGUGCAAUAUUCCCCACUGCUGCCUCCCGUAUGAGUCUGGGCCGUAUCUCAGUCCCAAUGUGGCCGGUCGCCCUCUCAGGCCGGCUACCCGUCGUAAGCUCGGUGGGCCGUUACCCCGCCGACUACUG
rnacentral:rRNA from 1 species